GGCGUCCGAAAAUGCCCUCUCCUCUAUAUAAACGCAGCCCUCGAAGCAUCGUCACUUCCGAAACCCUAGCUUUCCUGACGCCGCCGCCGACCCACCCCGACGCCGGUAAGAACCCUUGGUCUUCCACCUCGUCUUCCUCAUGCGCGCGCUCCAAAUCAUCCUGCCUCGCUCCCUUCCGCUGAUUGAUUUGCCCUUUCUCCUGAAUCGGUUGUUCAUCUCUGGAUUUCUUGGCGAAACCGCAGGUGAUUAGGAGCAGGAGCAAGAGGGAUCCGGGAUGGCCAAGUCGAAGAACCACACGGCGCACAACCAGUCGUACAAGGCGCACAAGAACGGCAUCAAGAAGCCCAAGCGCAACCGCCAGACCUCCACCAAGGGGGUACGUGCUUCGCUUUCCAUGCUCGCCUAUGCGCCAUGCUAGAUCUGAAUUCUAAAUCGGCGCGCCUUCAUAAAUCCUUUGGCUUUGAUAUCAACGUGAUGUUAUUCGUUAUGUGGUGACUUGUGGUACGCAAUAGAUUUAGUAGCAUGGCUUGAUACAAUCAACACCAGAUGAUGCUAGUUAAUCGUAAUUUUCUACUAGUGUGCGAUCUUUAUUGCCCCGAAAUCACCUAGCUUGCUGCGCAGUUUCUUAGUUUAGUUGUUUUAAAAUUCAUUAUUUGGUUGUAAGUAUUUAAUGUUCAGCUGUAGAAGUCAUGAUUUGGGUUACACUGAAUUUGGUAUUCUGUCUAUUCCUAUGGUAUUGCUGGUUUACUGCUAAUUUGACCUGUGGAAUAUAUGCCUACAGGAUUAGGUAUUUUUGUUGUAUGUUGCUCCAGUUGCAGACUUGUUUCAUUACAUUGGUACCAUUGCAGAUUUCCCUUGUAAUUUUGUAGCUGCAUUACCUGAUGUUUUUUUUUUCAGAAUUCGUUGCUGCUGAAAUGCUGUUUGAUUUGAGUCUUGUAUGUUAAAUCAAAUGUUAUGCAAAAGUUUUUAAGGUCGUGAUAAGAUGUCGGGUGGUGACUUGGUAUGCCUUGUCACUUAGGAGCUAUAAGGUAUAACUAGCCCAUGUGUGGCCUAGUUUCGUCUUGAUGGGUGUGGGUUAUGUACGCCCUUGCAUCCAAAAAUAUGUUUGUAUAGUGCUAGUUAGUGUGAUGUACAGAUUAUUUCUAGUCAUACUCUGAUGUCAAUGUCGUGCUCAUUUGAAUUUACAUUAUACCUUGGGCGUGUUUGUUUUUCUUAUGCUCCAUCGAAUAUUGUUUUAUUCUGUGUUUGUCUAUUAACUGUCUCUUUUGUUGUGGUUUUAGAUGGACCCAAAGUUCCUGAGGAACCUGAGGUACUCAAGGAAGAACAACAAGAAGAGCGGCGAGGCUGAGGCUGAGGAGUAAGCUGGUGGAACUUCAGCUGAUGAAUCUCUCUUGUAUCCCUAGGGUCUGCUAGAGUCAUGAACUUCAUUCUCUGUUCUGUAUUAUCAAAGAAGUUCGCUCAGUUGGUACCAAAGUUUUGUUUGUCAUGCUGCCUGGCUGGACUUGGAACCCUUAUUUGCAGCUUAUGAGAAUUGGGAACCCCAUUGCCUUUUUUGUGAUGCCUGUUAUCAACAGUUCGCCGUUUUCUUCGAUGUCUUAUCAUCUUGUGAUAUGAGGAUGCGACGUUUGAGCACCCUCUCUAAGCAGAAAGGAAUG
rnacentral:lncRNA from 1 species